rnacentral:rRNA from 1 species
UGGGCUUGGAUUAUGGUUGUCUGUCGGCGUAAUUGCCGGCUCAACUGAAAUACACGAGCAACCCUAUUUAAAUAAACGGUUUGACUUGGCGUAAUAAUUAUUUCGCUAAGGACGUUUUCUUAAAAUAUAAGAGGUGCUACUAAUUCGCUAUUAUAGCAUUUAAGCUUUAGACCUCAAAUCAGUCAGGACUACCCGCUGAACUUAAGCAUAUCAAUAAGCGGAGGAAAAGAAACUAACAAGGAUUCCCCUAGUAACGGCGAGUGAAGUGGGAAAAGCUCAACUUUGAAAUCUGGCACCUUCGGUGUCCGAGUUGUAGUCUCAAGAAGUGUUUUCUGUGCUGGUCCAUGUAUGAGUCUGUUGGAACACAGCGUCAUAGAGGGUGACAACCCCGUUCAUGACAUGGAUACCAGUGCUUUGUGAUACACUCUCGAAGAGUCGAGUUGUUUGGGAAUGCAGCUCAAAUUGGGUGGUAAAUUCCAUCUAAAGCUAAAUAUUGGCGAGAGACCGAUAGCAAACAAGUACCGUGAGGGAAAGAUGAAAAGCACUUUGGAAAGAGAGUUAACAGUACGUGAAAUUGUUGAAAGGGAAACGAUUGAAGUCAGACGUGCGUGAUGCGGUUCAGCACUGGUUCGCCAGUGUGUAUUCCGUAUCUUUGCAGGCCAACAUCAGUUUCGGUAGUCGGAUAAAGGUUAGUUGAAUGUGGCACCCUCGGGUGUGUUAUAGCUUCUGACUGAAUACGAUUUCUGGGACUGAGGAACGCAGCGCGCCGCAAGGCAAAGGUUCCGACCU